rnacentral:SRP_RNA from 1 species
GCGCCGGCUGGAGUCACGUCCAGUUGUCACCCAUGUGGGGGCCAAGCGGAUGAAGGAACAUAUGGCUCUCCGGUCGUGAACGCUUCCGUCGAUAGCGUGUCCUCUUCGAGUCCACAGUCGGCAAGGUCGCUGCCCUGAUGGGUGGCUGACCUGGUUGAUGAUUAGUCCCGCACCGCGUGAGGCAGGAAACUGAGCAGCGAAAAGGGACAGCUGCGGACGGCGAAAGGAUCGCAUGCUUGAGGAGGUGCCACGACCACCCGGGGGGUCCUCUGUGGGACCAACUACCGUUU